rnacentral:lncRNA from 1 species
AAUUAUUGUAAUUCUUUAUAUAUCUUUUACUUAUAAUUCUAUAUAAAUUUUAAUUCAUUUUUAAGUCAUCGAGACAUAAGAAGACAGAAACUCUAAAAUGAAAGGACAUAAAGGAAAAAAUCAAGGUGAGAUUCUCUGAAUUUUUACGAAAAGGAAUAUUGGAUUGAACCGUUGCGGCCGUUGCAGUCAAAACUCCGUUGUGUUGCGGUGAAAUGCUGUUGCGUUNNNNN